UUUCUCUUCACGAACUCACCGCUCGAUUUUCUUCUCUCAGUGUUUGAUGAAGGAGAUUAAGUGGUACUUUCUCUGAUUCUUCCACGAGAUGGAGAUGUAGAGUAGAUAGUUUUGGGGUUUUCUCUUUAAAUCUUCUUUUGUUGUUAAAUGGGGUUUUGAGACUGUUUGUUUUUCUUUUCUUUUAAGAUUUGAAGAAGGGGUUUUGUGUUUGUGUUGUAGGGAUUCGUACAUUGAAGGAAAGCUUGGGUUUUUGAUACAGUGGAUUGCAAACAAGUUCAGUUUUGGUUGUUUCUUUGAAUCAAUAAACCCUAACCCAAUUUUUUUUUAAAUUUUGCAGGUACGAUUUUUUGUCCAAGAUAAGUUUCGGAGAAACCCUAAUAGCCAUUCAAGUUUGGGAUAUCCAAAAUCGAAAGUUAAAGCAGAUCUCCCACAUCAUGAGGAUGAGUCUUCAACACUGUCAUAGAAGAGGGAUUUUACACCAAUUAAAAUCAUUGUGCAUCUUUGACUGUGCUCAGGUACUGGAUCCAUAGCUGCUGGAUAAGGGAAAUAUGUUGUACAUAAUCCAACAAGAUGGAAAGCUUGGCAACAAAAUAAAAAGAGGCGUCGUACAAUUGCAGUUCUCUUCAAUGCCAUAGCAUCAGUUGGUUGGUCCCGGACCUGGAGUAUUUCGAUCUGAAGUCAACUGCGACCUCAAGGAUUAAGAAAACUUGAGUUAAGGGUUUAACCCAUUUUCUUAAAGACAAAUUCUAAUUUGCAAUUGUUCUCGGAUUGUAAAGUUCAUUUCAGUAUUGUUGAGAAACGGUAAUGAAAUUUCUUUGAAGGAGUUGGAUAAUUGCGAUGCUAUAUCAAAGUCCCAUUCUUUCUGGUGGUUCAAAUCAGGAGUGGUUGGAUGUUGCAAACGCUCUCCAGAAGCAAAUGUGAGCGGAUGCACAACUGGAUAAGAGGCGGAUGAAAGAAGAGUACUUAAUAAGAGCUCAAAGUUUGUCUUUUAUGAGAACCAAGACUGAGCUAAAUAUAAUAAAUUCUGCAGUGGAUGACAGUCACAAUCCAUUUGGACGACAGCAAAAACAAUGAGUAGCAGGUUAAUUAUUUUUUAUGUUUGCAUUCAUGUUUGUUAUGAAACUACCAUCUGGCAUUAAACUACUCAUGUGGAUAUUAAUAAUUUGAAAUUCAUACUACUAUUUGGAUUUUGAUAAUUUCUGUAGUGACUAAGAUUUAUUAUAGUGCCAGUAUUUUUGUAAGAAGCAACAUAUGAUCAACAGGCAAAAUACACCUCAA